GGGUAAAAUGGUCUUUUUGCCCUCAACUUAACACCGUCAAGUGCCAAAAAUGGACAGAAGGCCAUAGAGGGAACUCAAUUUUCGAUCGGGGCCAUGGAGGGAAGUGAAAAUGAAAAAGGGCCACACAAGGAAGAUGCAUCUUCGUGGAGGCCAUACAGGGAAUUUACUCCAUGUUAUAACCUCCGAUUCAAGCUACACCAACUCAAGUAUCGCCUACAUCGACACCAGCUCAAGUCUUUGAUGAACCAAUUACGCAUAGACGAGCUAAAAAACUACAACAAGAGGUUCACCAAGGAGGAUGGCAAGAAUACAAAAGGAGAACAUUACAAAGAAGGACCACACUCUAACCGGACCAGUCCUAUAGAACAGUCUGAAAGAAUCGGUCAUAACUUUUGAUUUCCAAAAGCUAUAAAGGUCAAUGAGGACAUUUUAGAAAGCUUGUCAAGUCUACUUUCCAAUACCAUUCAUGACGGGUACUUUGAAUUAUCCACUAAUGAGAUCUGAUUACUUUAGUGAAGACUGGUCAAAAGGUCAAUAGUAUGCUAAACGUUCAACUUCC